CCAUGUCGUUGCGUAGCAGAGGAAUGGAGGGGAGGGAGGCGGAUGCGAUGGAGGAAGGUGCUCUUGUCGGCGAGGGCUAGCAAGAGGUCAUGGAGCAUGGCCAGCUGCCCGCGAGCAGCUCUGAGAAGAGGAAGGCUGGCUGCCGGGGAGCAGUGGGAGCAAGGAGAGAGGGCGGUACAGAGUGGAGGUCAGCAGAGGCGCCCCGUCGGGCUCGUUGCCGGGAAGCACUCGCAGGGCAGGCCUGAAGCAGCCGUCUUCGCCAAACGGGUGGAAGGUUGGAUCCUUCUGAUCUACGCUACUCAUCAUUGGCGAUGAUUGUUAUUCUGUUGCGCUGGUUCUAUGGGGCCUUAACACGACGACUUCCCGACUGUCUACUACAACAAGUUUUGCCCGGCUUCGGCGCGGGAGAGACAAUGACGGCGGCGCGCCUUCAGGUCGCUUCAGUGCUUGUAGUCAUCGUUAGGUGGUCUAGGAUCUGGAUGUAAUUUUAAUUAUUUUUGCUGUUCGUUGUACUGCCAUGAUUGAAAAUGAAUAGAUCGGAAGUUUUCUCGUAAAAAAAGUUGAAGACACAAGUGUCUAAAACGUCUUAUAUUACUUUACAUAGGGAUUUUUUUUUGCGAAAUACAGGGAGUAUUUUUUAGGGCGAUGCUAGGCGCCGGUGCGCCGGCCGAACGUUUCGGCCUGUCGCACCCUAGCCGUCAGAUCGGCCCGUCCCGAGCCGUUGGAUCUUUAUCCAACCAGGUCAUCGUCUUCCUCUCGCGAGCGCGUAAUGAGCGUCGCCUUCCUCUCGCGAACCCCGUCUCGCCGGCCGCAUGUGUUCCCCCUCGUCGCCGCCCCUCCCUUGCAUGCCCUCCUCGUCCCUUGUCUCCGUCCUCGCCGGCCGUCUUUCCCGCCCGCCCUGGUCGCCGGUCCCAGUCCUCGGCGGCCGUCCUCGGCGGCCGUCCUCGUCACCGGCUUCGCCCCAUGCAACAGCCCACCCCUGUGGUUGUAGCUUCCAUGGCCACAGUUCACCUCCGGUGGCGAUGACCGGAGCUCACCGGCGUGCUCAUCCGGUGUGCUCGCCGCGCGCUCAUAUCCAGCUUGCAACAAAAAAAUCAAGCGCCAGGGGAGAUGCCCGGUGCUGCAACCGACGAUGGAAAAAGCUACAAUCACUGACGAAAAAAGCUUCAACCGGCUAUGAAAAAAGUUUCAACUCGUACGACGGAAAAAUAUGAACGACCAAAGAAAAGCUACAACCGGCGAUAAAAAAGCUUCAUCCGACGAUGAAAAAAGCUUCAACCGGCUAUGAAAAAAGUUUCAACUCGUACGACGAAAAACUAUGAACGACCAAAGAAAAGCUACAACCGGCGAUGAAAAAAGCUUCAACCGGCUAUGAAAAAAGUUCAACUCGUACGACGGAAAACUAUGAACGACCAAAGAAAAGCUACAACCGACGAUGAAAAAAGCUUCAACCGGCUAUGAAAAAAGUUUCAACUCGUAUGACGGAAAACUAUGAAUGACCAAAGAAAAGCUACAAACCGGCGAUGAGAAAAGCUUCAUCCGACGAUGAAAAAAGCUUCAACCGUGGAGCAGUAAGCCAUGGACGACAAACGAAAAGCUACAACCGGUGGUUACAAAAGCUACAACCGGCAUUGAAAAAAGCUUCAAACUAAUUAUCUUAGCUGUGAAUCCCGCGAUGACGAUGACGUCGUUUUGCUGCAACCAUAGUUGGUUUUGCAACAAACGGCGUUGGAAUUUGUUACAACCAUUUUCACAGCUACUUGCUGCUGCUCCGCCGAGCUCCCACGCCUGCCCAUGGCCAUCGUCACCGCUGUGCCAUUCCGGGAGGAAAAAGGUUCAACGGCUGCAGCUCCGCGCGUGGUGGGUUGCAGCUCAGACGUGGUCCGGUUCGACGAGGGCAGGCAAAGCUCCGAUGGCGCGGAUCCGAGCAGAUCUGGCCGAGGGCAGCCGGAUCGGCUGAUUCCCAUGGCGGCGGCGCCCUGGGAGGCCUCCGGCCGGCGAAGGUUGACCAUGGCAGCGGGGGGAGAGAGAGACGAACGACGGGAAGAAGAGAAACAGGAGGGAGAAGACGCACGUGGGUGGCCCCCCCAUCCUACGUGUCGCUAGGUGAGUCGCUCGGUACGUUCGCGCGUGGACGCGACCGGCCGAAGCUUCGGCCGGUGCCCCGUCGUGAAACGUUUCCCUAUUUUUUAAUGGUCUAUUUUAUAAAUCUCUACUCCUAAUGGAGCAGUUGGUGAAUAGUUUGCGCGGUUUAUUUUCGCUGGUUUUUUCGUCAUCCUCCCACCUCCGGUUUUUUGUCAUCCUCCCACCUCCGUUAACUCGCAACCCACCCGCGAAAAAAAAACCGUGCCAAAAAACCCUACGAUCGAUGCCUCCAACCCCCAACCUCCUCCCUGGCUCCCGGCGCCGCCCGCCCCCAUCUCCUCCCCGAUCCCGGCGCCGCCCGCCCCCAUCUCCUCCCUCACUCCUGGUGCCGACCUCGCCCCCACCUUCUCGCUCACUCCAUAGCCCACGCCCGCGUUCUUCCUCCCCCAUCUCGUCUCAUCUCCGGUCGCUACAGAGGAGGCCCGUUUCGCGCCGCCACCAUGGUUGGCCUGCAGCGAGCAGCAGAGGACCUAGCCGCCGCGUCCGACCUCAACCGCCGCCCGAAACCCUAGCCCCUCCUUCCAACGGCAGGUCAAGCCAGCAGGAUCCCCUCCAAGAACAGCAUUUGAUGCGCCCGAGUCAUCUCUGCUUGUGCACAACAAGGAAGGCCAUGGAGACGCUGCUCCCUAUGUUCAGCGCGUGGACGAACGAUGCAGCAUUGGGGAUGACUCAUGGCUGCCUCCGUUUGUGCAGAUUGGGUACUCUGGAGCACAUGGGAGGAGGAGAAGGAUGGGAGGUGUGUAGAAUUCGGUGCCCAGGGAGACGAUCGAGAUGGUGGAGCAGAAUCUAGAGGACGACGGGAGACCAGGUAGAGGAGAGACAACACCCGGAGCCCAUCGAUCCAGUGAGCAGUGUGUGCUGUUCUUGGUGACCGAUGUCGUGAUGCAGGUGUUCUGGCCCAACUUAUUAUUUUCCUUCUUUGUGGUCUGUCUGCUGCAGUGAGCGGGGGAUUGCUAACUUUGUGAUUGCCGCACAGGUAACCUGCUGAGCCGACAUCGACGCCAAGUGUGGCAAUGCCUCUUCAUAUGAUUGGGAGGGCGAGUUCUUCCUGGGCUUUACCAAGAUCAACUAUGGGGAAGAGGAUGCUUUCUUACAAGUGGUAUAACGUGGAGGAAGUGAUUCUUGUAAAGAAAAUGUUAGGUUGCGGUUCAGUGUGGCAUUCUGGAAUAUGUUUCGGGGUACUGGAGGAGAUCCUUUUGGUGCACCUACAAAGAACUGGCCUUGGGAGGAUGGCACAAAUUCCCUGGCCAUGGCUAAGAGAAGAAGUAUGGGAAUUACCUGAUCUUGUGUCUUAGGUCCAUGGCUGGAAUCAACAACUUAUGCUUCGAUUUUUGUUUCGGUGAUAUCUCAAUUCGAGUUCAUGAAGAAGCUUGGAGUUGACAGGUGGUGCUUCCAUUAGAGGGACAUCACCCCUGAUGGCAAAACACUCGCGGUAUGAUUUUAUUAGAAUGAUUCUUGAAGUUGCAAGUUGCAACCUCGAGUUAGGGGAAUUGAGACGGGUAGUGACCGACAUUAGAGCAGGUUUAUUAUGAUUGUAUUUACAAGGGUACAUGACUAUGUUUUCAGCACAAGGAAUAUGGU